rnacentral:rRNA from 1 species
GACGAACGCUGGCGGCGUGCUUAACACAUGCAAGUCGAACGGAAAGGCCCUGCUUUUGUGGGGUGCUCGAGUGGCGAACGGGUGAGUAACACGUGAGUAACCUGCCCUUGACUUUGGGAUAACUUCAGGAAACUGGGGCUAAUACCGGAUAGGAGCUCCUGCUGCAUGGUGGGGGUUGGAAAGUUUCGGCGGUUGGGGAUGGACUCGCGGCUUAUCAGCUUGUUGGUGGGGUAGUGGCUUACCAAGGCUUUGACGGGUAGCCGGCCUGAGCGGGUGACCGGCCAAAUUGGGACUGAGAUACGGCCCAGACUCCUACGGGAGGCAGCAGUGGGGAAUAUUGCACAAUGGGCGGAAGCCUGAUGCAGCAACGCCGCGUGCGGGAUGACGGCCUUCGGGUUGUAAACCGCUUUCGCCUGUGACGAAGCGUGAGUGACGGUAAUGGGUAAAGAAGCACCGGCUAACUACGUG